UGUCAACAUCUCUUCCAGACAUACUGCAACUGUUUCAGUCCCAGGGACGGAUAAUCUCUGCCUGCACAUCUGCAAAAACGUUUAAUCUUGUCGGCUAGCACAGGGAUUACUGUGAUUCAAUGCACUGUUAUGUCCGCAGGAUUCAACAGUGGGAACAUGCUAAGGAAGAUGUUGUUAUUGUUGUCGCCGCUCCUCAAAGCCUGCUCCUUGUUGGCGGUUGCCUCUUGUGAAGACUAUGCUGCAAGCAGAAGUAUCAACAGCAGGCUAGCCUUCAUUAACGCUUGUAUUUGUAUUUCUCUGCUUCAAGUACAGUAAAUGAUUCUAUGAGGCACUGGAUCAGUUAUUUACUAAUAGCUGUGGCUCAGCAAAAAUGUUAGAUAUUCACAACAGCUGCAUUAAUUUGUGGUAUAAAAACAUCAAU